rnacentral:rRNA from 1 species
CAGCACCUCAAGUGGUCAGGAUGAUUAUUGGGCCUAAAGCAUCCGUAGCCGGCUCUGUAAGUUUUCGGUUAAAUCUGUACGCUCAACGUACAGGCUGCCGGGAAUACUGCAGCGCUAGGGAGUGGGAGAGGUAGACGGUACUCGGUAGGAAGGGGUAAAAUCCUUUGAUCUAUUGAUGACCACCUGUGGCGAAGGCGGUCUACCAGAACACGUCCGACGGUGAGGGAUGAAAGCUGGGGGAGCAAAACGGAUUAGAUACCCGAGUAGUCC